CUGACAGCCGGGUAAACCUUAAAACUUCCCUGGGCUUUCAUACAGGAUUGGGUCCCUUUUUGUCAUCUGUGGCUCUGUGCCGGUCAGUCCAUACCUUUUUGGUGUUGAUGGUGAUGAACAGACAAUCACCUUUUCAGGGUCUGCUCUGUUUGUGCAAGAGGAAACCAGUUUGUUUCGCAUUCCUUGGAGAGCAGCGAGUUUUCACGGUGUCGUAAGGACUCUGUCGGCAUGAUUCUGGAUGCGACUUCAAUAAAACAAACCUUACGCAUCAGUCGAGACUCUCUACCUUUCUUCAAAUCCAAGGUCCUUCUUCUCUCUGCAGGGUGAGCGACAUGAGAGGUUUAACCGUCAAGAGGACAUCCUCUCUACUCUGGGGCGCUGCGCCGGCGCUGCUGCUGACUCUGCAGCUCGGAUACGCGAGCCGUGUGCUCCUUGAUCAGCUCGCUGGUCUUGCGGUGGUGUUUCCGAACCAGAUCCUUCAUCUCCUUGUACUGCUUCCGCUGCUCCCGGACGAAGCCCUUCUGCUGCUUCAGCUCCUCGACAGUCUGAGCCUCCAGCUCUGCGAUGCCAGCGCCCAAAGGGAAAGACGAAGAAACUAAUUUGCAGGACAUCAACUUCUUUAAAUUCACUCUGAUUCCUGGGCUAAGGAUAUUUCUGAUUAUGACUCAUAAUCUAAUAAAUGUGGGAAAUAAUUAAUACAUGUCAACCAUUCUUGCCACAACCUUUUGCUUAAAAACUUUCCUAUAAGACAGGGGUGUUAAACUCAUUUUGCUUGGCGGGCCGGAUUUGACCAAUUUUUCAAAAUAACUUUAAUAAUAAUUUUUCUAAUUCUUUUUUUUUUACUAUUGUUAUCUAAU